UCGAGAAUCUUCGGCAAUGGGCGCCAGCCUGACCGAGCGACGCCGCGUGGAGGACGAAGGCCUUCGGGUUGUAAACUCCUGUCGAGGGGGAGGAAGGGCCGCCGAAGAGGCGGCCUUGACCGAUCCCUGGAGGAAGCACGGGCUAAGUUCGUGCCAGCAGCCGCGGUAAGACGAACCGUGCGAACGUUAUUCGGAAUCACUGGGCUUAAAGCGCGUGUAGGCGGGCCGCCACGUCGGUUGCUGAAAGCCCCCGGCUCAACCGGGGAACGGGCACCGCAACGAGCGGCCUGGAGGGGGGUAGGGGGCGCCGGAACUGCCGGUGGAGCGGUGAAAUGCGUUGAGAUCGGCAGGAACGCCCGUGGCGAAAGCGGGCGCCUGGACCCCACCUGACGCUGAGACGCGAAAGCCAGGGGAGCGAACGG
rnacentral:rRNA from 1 species